rnacentral:lncRNA from 1 species
GUGACAUCAAAACAGAUAGCAAAAUGGGCAGAUCAAAUGAUCCAUUUCUAUGGAAGACGAAAAUUUUGGAUCAAUUGUUGAGAUGCCAAACGAUGGCAGCAAAUUAGUUUUUGAAGAAAAGAAUGGAAAUAAAAAUGAUAAGUGCGAAAUACAUACGCAUUUAUAGAGGCGUGAAGGUGAAAAGACAGAAUGUGAAUGGCCACAUUCGUGCUUAGUAACUGAAACAUCUUGGGAAAAGAGAUGAAAAUACCAAGGAAGAAUGUACAUGAAUCUUAGUAUAAAGCAAUUAAAUGCUUGGGAGGUUGACGAUUAAGGACAACGUCAAUCAAUACACAAGUAGACAAACUAGUCGUUCAUUAAUGACGAUAACUGCUGUUACAUUCAAAAUUAGCAAUGGCAAUUAGUGCGAAGUUACAAAAGAAAAUUUAAGGCAUUAGAUGUCUUAAUUACAAUUCACCUCAGGCCGAACGAAUUCUUUCCCUAAGUCUACCCCAAUCUUCGCUCUGCUGAGAAGAAGCGACAUUUAAUUCAGCUACAAAAUCGUCAUCAACUUCCAGCUUUUUGUACUGCUCAACCAAAGACUUGGUUUGUUCAAUUCCUUGGAAAGCAUUACCCCUUUUAGUAGCCAUUCUCGCCCUACAGUCGUCCAUUUUUGUUUGAAGCUCCUUCAUCUCUGCAGCCAAACUUGUCAUCAAAGAGUCUUCGAUCAUAACAUCGGAAGAGAUUUCUUUUAAUUCAUCCUCGACUUUGUUAAUCUCUAGAAGCAAAGACUCUCUUUCAG